rnacentral:misc_RNA from 1 species
GAUGAAGAACGUAGCGAAAUGCGAUACGUAGUGUGAAUUGCAGAAUUCAGUGAAUCAUCGAAUCUUUGAACGCACAUUGCACCUCUCGGUAUUCCGGGAGGUAUGCCUGUUCGAGCGUCAUUUGUACCCUCAAGCUCUGCUUGGUGUUGGGUGUUUGUUCCGCCUCUGUGUGUGAACUCGCCUCAAAACAAUUGGCAGCCGGCGUACUUGUUUCGGAGCGCAGCACAUUUUGCGAUCCAGAUCAACGUACAGCGGCAUCCAAGAAGCCUUAUUUAACGCUCUUGACCUCGGAUCAGGUAGGGAUACCCGCUGAACUUAAGCAUAUCAAUAAGCGGGAGGA